rnacentral:misc_RNA from 1 species
GUGAAUCAUCAAAUCUUUGAACGCAAAUUGCACUCUCCUCUGAUAGGAUGCCUAUUUGAGUUUCAGCCUAUAAAAAAUCGACAUCGUUGCUGUUUCGCGGUGUCGGUCGUCGGAAAUUGGGUCAUCUUAAAUCUUUUGUUUUUAAGCUACUUAAAAUUUUCUUUUUGUUUCCAUGAACGUUUCUAAGAUUUAUUUCUUUACACGUUUAUGGUAUCUAUUUGUAUUAGACAUGACCAUCAUAGCGGAUCGCGCCUAUA